rnacentral:lncRNA from 1 species
UUCAGUCUUUUUUCCUAAGUUCUAAGUUUUUUGAUCACUCGCUGUUCUUCUCUAGACUUUGUCCACAUGAUUCACAUCUUUCUGAAAGUAUAGACCUGGCUUUUGAAGCGUGACAGCUGUGGCCUUGCAGCCUUGAGCACUGGAAGGAUUACCUCCUGUGCGCUUUACGGUCCAAGAUGGUGCUUGCCUUUAUCUGAAAUAGAAUGGCAUUCUCGGUUUAUCAGUUUGUAAUCUAAUGUAAUCCCUAAUGCACUGCUACCUAGCCAGUUAUUCUUCUUAUGUUGGCUUUUUGAUCUAUCCUAUCCUAGAUCAUACGCUAGCUAUGUAAAAAAAAUGCAGUAUCCUGUGUUUGCUCCAAUUAAAUUUCAUUCUGUUCUUUUUUUGCAGUCUAUUCAAGUCAUUUUAAUGAUCAACUCCCUUAAACACUGA